AACGGCCUACCAAGGCAACGAUCAGUAGCCGACUUGAGAGAGUGAUCGGCCACAUUGGGACUGAGACACGGCCCAAACUCCUACGGGAGGCAGCAGUAGGGAAUAUUGCACAAUGGGGGAAACCCUGAUGCAGCGACGCCGCGUGAAGGAAGAAGUAUUUCGGUAUGUAAAGCUCUAUCAGCAGGGAAGAAAGUGACGGUACCUGACUAAGAAGCACCGGCUAAAUAC
rnacentral:rRNA from 1 species